CAUGCAGUCUACUUGAGGUAACUUCGGUUACCGAGGGUGGCGGACGGGUGAGUAACGCGUAAAGAACUUGCCCCUUAGUCUGGGACAACUGUUGGAAGCGACAGCUAAUACCGGAUAUUAUGAGACCUUGGCAUCAAGGACUUAUGAAAGCUAUAUGCGCUAGGGGAGAGCUUUGCGUCCUAUUAGCUAGUUGGUGAGGUAAUGGCUCACCAAGGCGACGAUAGGUAGCCGGCCUGAGAGGGUGAACGGCCACAAGGGGACUGAGACACGGCCCUUACUCCUACGGGAGGCAGCAGUGGGGAAUAUUGGACAAUGGACCAAAAGUCUGAUCCAGCAAUUCUGUGUGCUUGAUGAAGGCCUUCGGGUUGUAAAGAGCUUUAAGUGGGGAAGAAGAAAGUGACGGUACCCACAGAAUAAGCGACGGCUAAAUACGUGCCAGCAGCCGCGGUAAUACGUAUGUCGCAAGCGUUAUCCGGAAUUAUUGGGCAUAAAGGGCGUCUAGGCGGUUUAGAAAGUCUGAUGUGAAAAUGCGGGGCUCAACUCCGUAUUGCGUUGGAAACUACUAGACUAGAGUAUUGGAGAGGUAAGCGGAACUACAAGUGUAGAGGUGAAAUUCGUAGAUAUUUGUAGGAAUGCCAAUUGGGAAGCCAGCUUACUGGACAAAUACUGACGCUGAAGCGCGAAAGCUAGGGGAGCAAACAGGAUUAGAUACCCUGGUAGUCCUAGCUGUAAACGGU
rnacentral:rRNA from 1 species